rnacentral:pre_miRNA from 13 species
GUAUGAAAGUGUUUCUAUUGGUUGGAGAUCUGUGAUUAAUUCGGCCGCCGUCGUACGAACUGACAGAUCUCCAACCAAUAGAAACACUUUUAU